rnacentral:rRNA from 1 species
UACGUAGGGUGCGAGCGUUAAUCGGAAUCAUUGGGCGUAAAGCGCACGUAGGCGGUUCGUUAUGUCGGAUGUGAAAGCCCUUGGCUUAACCGAGGAAGUGCAUCCGAAACUGGCGAGCUAGAGUACUAAAGAGGAUCGCGGAAUUCCCGGUGUAGAGGUGAAAUUCGUAGAUAUCGGGAGGAACACCGGUGGCGAAGGCGGCGAUCUGGGUAGAUACUGACGCUGAGGUGCGAAAGCGUGGGGAGCAAACAGG